rnacentral:lncRNA from 1 species
UUCAUGUCUGAUCAUAUCAUGCCCAGUGUUCAAAUGAUCAAGUAACCUUUAUAAGAUCUUUGUCAACAAAAAGCUUGUUCAGUGUCGAAGUUCCAGUUUUGUCACUGCAAAGAACAUCCAUGCCUACCAUUUCUUCUAUUGGUAAUUAGGAUGUGGUGCAAGAUCGAUUUCCUGUCGAGUAACCUCCACUUUCUGCCACUCGUCCCAUCUUUCGGCCAACCCGUCACCUUCCAGCAUUCUGACCACAUCAGACAUUUUGGGUCGGUCCAUUGGUGAGCCUUGGGUGCACAGCAAUGCCACCUGGAUCAGCUGCGCAACUUCUGAAUCGAUGUAAUUCGUCUCUAGAUCAGGGAACCGGUGCUCUAAAUCGACAACUUUGAUGUUGCGAUGACAGAGAUGUUUGGAAUCGGUCUUGCGACGAAAUGAUGCUUCACUUUUACUUUUCAAAGCAUAAUGGAUUUUGAU